UACGGGGGGAGCAAGCGUUGUUCGGAUUUACUGGGCGUAAAGGGCGCGUAGGCGGCGCGACAAGUCACUUGUGAAAUCUCUGGGCUCAACCCAGAACGGUCAAGUGAUACUGUCGUGCUAGAGUGCGGAAGGGGCAACUGGAAUUCUUGGUGUAGUGGUGAAAUGCGUAGAUAUCGGGAGGAACACCAGUGGCGAAGGCGGCUUCCUGGCCUGUUCUUGACGCUGAGGCGCGAAAGCUAGGGGAGCAAACGGG
rnacentral:rRNA from 1 species